rnacentral:rRNA from 1 species
UACGGAGGAUGCAAGCGUUAUCCGGAAUUAUUGGGCGUAAAGCGUCCGUAGGUGGUGGUGCAAGUCUGCUGUUAAAGCGUGGAGCUUAACUCCAUAAGGGCAGUUGAAACUACCAAGCUGGAGUACGGUAGGGGCAGAGGGAAUUUCCGGUGGAGCGGUGAAAUGCGUAGAGAUCGGAAAGAACACCAACGCGAAAGCACUCUGCUGGGCCGACACUGACACUGAGAGACGAAAGCUAGGGGAGCGAAUGGG